GCAAACGCAACAAGAGGCAGAUAAUUUAUUUUGUGCCAAUCACUCUUCCAACAACUGAAAUUGGUUUGUCAAAUAUGUUCGUUGGUGUAUGAUCAGAUCUGCAUUAUAGUAUUAGUAUUAAACAAACUGUAAAGAAAAGAAAAUGAUGUUUUAGAUGCUGUAGAAAAUUUUCGAAGGAUAUGUUUACUGAUUAUGAACAACAGGAUUAUAUCAUCAUGACCAUUGGAAUCUUACAAGGAGAAGUGCAAAUAAAUGAAGGAAUCCAUGUGCAAAAAUUAUAAUAUUGUAAACAGGAGAACAGUCUUAAAUAAUACUAACAGUUAAACAAUUUUGUGAACAAGAGUCCAAGAGCAAGGCAGAGUAAACUUGGAGUGUAUAUAUGUCAACCACAAGUACAUUAAGAACACAUAAUGCUAAUGAAAUAAGAACUAUGGUACACAUUUUGUAUGAUUGUAAAUAUCUCAUCCAAACAAAUGUAGUUGUUAAAUAAAUAGAAUUGAAAUAACUAAA